GAGUGUUCUAGGGAGAAGGGUCGGGAAUUCUUCUCACGCACCAGGGACGGGCGUGGUAUGUGGUUUAUGGGUAGAACAGUCCAAUAAAUUCAAGGAAUCAGUUGGGAGAGCGACCAUGAAGACUAUUUUCUUAAUUGCUUUGUAUUAAAGAUGGCUUUAGAAAUGUAUUUAGACCUUUUCAAGGAGAACAACAUUCCUUUUGAUUUCAAAACUGUUUCACUUAUGGAAGGAGAGCAGUAUGGAGAAGAUUUCGGAAAGAUCAACAUGAUGAGGAAAGCUCCUGCAAUCUGAGAUGGAGACUUCUGUUCGGCUGAAAUGUGGGAAUGAAAACAUUGAGUUCAGUUGAGAGAUCAAUCAUCUCUACUUAUUUGAUGAGGCAAUGUAAUAAGACUACUUAACAAAUCCUUUGUGAUGCCUGGAGUAACUAAACAAAUCCCCAUUCUGAUUUUUAGUAACAAUUGCAACACAGUGUCCAGGCCAAGAGUUUCAGUGACAAACUGAUCAAUCACCUUUGCAGCAUUGCCAUUUUGAAGUACCUGGCAUAGAAGCACAAGACCGCAGACCACGGGAAUCCAGCCGACCUGCAGAAGCUCACCCGUGUCAAUGAAGAACUGUCCUGGCAGCACAUGGGAAUACGUAUGCAUGGCUCCAAGAUGUAUUAGCUCAGGCUGUUGAUACCAAAGAUCAUGGGUGUGGAAGUCCCCAAGGACAAGAUGGAUAGAGCCCUGGAGGACCUGGAGGGCUGGUCGAGAACAUGGACGGCAGCAAGACGCAGGUCUUCAAGCCCAAGAUCUUGAGAUUGUUCUUCUGAAUUCUCCAGUGACAGUGCAGUGAAGCUGGUCCUCUGUGAAAUAAUCAAGCUGGAUCUGUUAUUCAGCCACUAUGCACCAUGUAACAUAAUAACAAAAUAAAACAUUCUCUAUGGAAAUUCAGACACUCCCUGUUAGUACAACACAUUUAUAUCCAUUCCUUAUUAUUCUAAUGUUCUAAAAGCUGUUUUUAUCAAACGUUUUAACCUUUUACUGUUUUUGAUUGAAUGAAUAACUUAUUAAACUGUGUUUAACGUUUACAA